GCAAUACUCUUGAAAGUGGCGCACGGGUGAGUAACACGUAGGUAACCUGCCCUGGAGCGGGGGAUAACAGUUGGAAACGGCUGCUAAUACCGCAUGAGACUGGGAGGCCGGGAGGUCUUCUGGUGAAAAUCUUGGUGCUUCAGGAGGGGCCUGCGGCCGAUUAGCUAGUUGGUGGGGUAAAGGCCUACCAAGGCGACGAUCGGUAGCUGGUCUGAGAGGACGAUCAGCCACACGGGAACUGAGACACGGUCCCGACUCCUACGGGGGGCAGCAGUGAGGAAUAUUGGGCAAUGGGCGAAAGCCUGACCCAGCAACGCCGCGUGGAGGAAGACGGCCUUCGGGUUGUAAACUCCUUUUACGGGGGAAGAGGAAGGACGGUACCCCGAGAAUAAGUCACGGCUAACUACGUGCCAGCAGCCGCGGUAAUACGUAGGUGACAAGCGUUAUCCGGAAUUACUGGGCGUAAAGCGCACGCAGGCGGCGCAUUAAGUCUGACGUGAAAUCUCUCGGCUUAACCGGGAGGGGUCGUUGGAGACUGAUGUGCUUGAGGCGAUGAGAGGGGUGUAGAAUUCCCGGUGUAGUGGUGGAAUGCGUAGAUAUCGGGAGGAAUACCAGUGGCGAAAGCGGCACCCUGGCAUUGGCCUGACGCUCAUGUGCGAAGGCGUGGGGAGCGAACGGGAUUAGAUACCCCGGUAGUCCACGCGGUAAACGAUGAGUACUAGGUGUGGGUGGAGUGAAAUCCAUCUGUGCCGAAGCAAACGCGCUAAGUACUCCGCCUGGGGAGUACGGCCGCAAGGCUAAAACUCAAAGGAAUUGACGGGGGCCCGCACAAGCAGCGGAGCGUGUGGUUUAUUUCGAUGCACACGAAGAACCUUACCUGGGUUUGACAUCUGCGUAGUAGUGGAACCGAAAGGGGAACGACUCUUC
rnacentral:rRNA from 1 species